rnacentral:ncRNA from 1 species
UGAGAGGUGUAGCAUAGGUGGGAGACUUCGGUCGACAAUGAAAUACCACCACUUUCA